GUCUCCAUCGACUAGUGGUUAAGUCAUCGGUCUCAUAGUACGCUAUGACCAGUUGAAAACAACUGAGCGAUCCGGAAAGCGGAGUUCGAUUCUCCGUGGGGACA
rnacentral:tRNA from 1 species